GAGGGUGGUUCGCUAUUGAUGUGACGAUUGGUGACCAUUUUCCUUGGAUGAUUUGUGUCCCGAUGAUCGGUGACAUUUCAGAACAUUGUUGACGAUGACGAAGUAUCUGUCUUUCAGAUGUUUCAUGAAUCGAUCAAAUGUGUUCGAUUGUGCUUUGAAACACUUAACUGUCUCCACAUCAUGGCGUAGUCUAGCCUACAAGAAUCCUUGGAGAAUAAUGUUUCCUAUGAAAAUGUCGCCUUCAAGGACAAUCACGUAUGCCCAAAGUGGUAGAUGUAGGACCACAUUCACAUCUAUGAAUACGCCCUAUCGUCCCAUUGUGCAACAAAUCAGAGUAUUAACAUCUGAAAUCCAAAAUAUGAGUAUAACUGAGAAUGAUGCUACUGCUACUGAAAAGGAGGAGGACUUUGGAACCUAUUCCCCACAUUUUACAUCCAGAAAGAAUUUUCGCAAAGCAUCACCGGAACUUCAGGAACUCAGUGAUCGUGAACGUUUUGGUGAGGAGGAAAAGGAAGAGCCGAAGGCAAGUCCAGGAAGAAGAAACACAACUUACUGGUACUUUCUUCAGUGCAAGAAACUGAUAAAACAGGACAAGCUGGCUGAAGCACUGGAGAUGUUUGAAACACAAAUGCUCAAGGUCGAGCGUCUGCAGCCAGAAGAAUACAACUAUACCAUACUGAUUGGAGGUUGUGGCCGUGUGGGUUACGUCAAAAAGGCCUUCAAACUCUACAAUGAUAUGAAGAAACGAGGCCUCAUCCCUACAGAUGCCACGUACACUGCUCUGUUCAAUGCCUGUGCCGAGUCACCCUGGAAGGAUUCAGGUUUGCAACAAGCCCUUAAACUCCAGCAAGAGCUAAAGAGGAAGAACAUCCAGCUCAGCCUCAUCACCUACCAUGCCCUUCUGAAGACACAUGCACUCUGCUCUGACCUCAGGGCCUGUUUCCAUGUGCUGCGGGAGGUGGUCCAGAAUGGUCAUGCAAUCACUCAGGAAACGUUCAACUUUCUCUUGAUGGGCUGCAUUAAAAAUAAAGAAGAAGGAUUCAGGUUUGUCUUGCAGGUUUGGCGUCAAAUGUUGAAGAUGGGGUUAAAGCCAAAUGGUCACAGUUAUAACUUGUUGCUGCGUGCAUCCCGGGAUUGUGGUAUUGGGGAUCCUGCUGUGUUCUCCUGUUUGCUACUGAGGGAUGAAGAGACAUUGCCCCCAAAACACACAAAAGCAAGAAAAGGUCAGAGAGCAAAUGAAAAAGAAAAGGGGCCAUUGGACAUGGUGAUUGAUGUAGAUGCCUUGGAAAGCAAACUCUUUCUGGACAAGAGCACAGAGGAGCAGAGUUUGGUUCCCUUACUGAACAAGGAAGAGGUACACAAGGAAUAUAAGGAAUUAGACACCGUGUCUCAUGUUGAGCAGAACAUCAGCCUUGACACGAUGUCAGGAUUAAAUGAUAAGAGAAUGGAAAGGAUGUUUCCAGCUGAAUCUAAUUCUCUCCAUACACCCGCAGCCAAUGUCACCUUACCCAACCUUCUCGAUUUGAGAAUAGAUAAGACCAAUGUUGUUUCCUUGGGGGCUGUGACUUGUGCCUCUGACAGACUGGCAUUGAUAGGAAACAUGGAGGGAUUUCUGAGCAAGAUGGAGGCCGAUGGUGUGAAACCCAGUGUCAAGACACUGACUUUGUUGGCUGACAUUAUAGAACCAGGGGGCCAGUCAGAAGUGAGCUUGUUCUCUGUUGCUGAACAGCAUAAACUGGAUCUAGACAUCUCCUUCUUCAAUACGCUUAUGCGAAAAAAGGCAAAAGCUGGAGACUACGACGGAGCAAGGGCUCUCUUGCCAGUAUUGGCAAAAAGGGGUUUGAACCCUAACCUUCACACAUACUGUAGCCUGGCUGUUGCAUGUAAGAGAGAGAAAGAUGGACUACAGCUCCUGUCUGAAAUGAAGGCCUCUGGUAUCACUCCCAAUGCCCACAUAUAUAGUGCCCUAAUCAGUAGAGCUUCCAAACAGCUGGACUACAAGUACCUGACAGAGAUCCUGAGAAGUAUGAAGCAAAACCAGGUACCUGCAACGGAGGUCAUCAUAAGGCAACUUGAGUUUGCUGCUCAGUACCCACCAAAUUUUGACAAGUACAAAGCAAAGAACAACUACUUGGACAAGAUUGACGGUUUCAGAGGCUAUUAUAAUCAUUGGCUGAAGUCUAUGCCAGGACAGGAGACUCUGCAUCCAUGGGAUAAAUUCAAACCACCAAGAGCAGACUAAGAACAAUGAAGACCAGUGAAUGAAGUAAUAUUUGACAACAAGUGAUGCAACUAUAGCAAGUACGCUGCCCGCAGAAUUCUCCGUACUCCACGACAAUAGAUGGCGAUAUGUCCGUGUGGUCGGAUCUUUCAACAAACCACUGAAGGAGAAUAAUAGA